ACUUGCAGUUGUUAGUUUGUGGGGCCAUGUAACAGGGAGAACACCAAUCUUGUGGGGCCCAGCAACCUUGUGGGGCCCAAAAUGAGGGACCCCACUAGAAUGAUCAUCAUAUAUGGGCUCACAAGCCUCCCCUGACAUGCCUGUCGCUUUUUUAGCACAUGUCUCACAAAGUCAGAAAGUAUGGAAAAGUGUGUGUGAUGUGUGUGUGGAUUUUUUACUCACUAGUGCCCCAAGUGUUGGAAAGGUGGUAUAACAUCACACACACACACUUCCUGGUGUGUGUAAGGGUUCAGCCAAUGAGGGGCCACUAUGAAAUCUCGCGAGAUUUUUCGUGAAGUCAUUAGCGAUAUCUCAUGUCUCAGCAUACCAAAGCCAUGCAGUGUUGGCUGCUCAACUGGGAACUUUGCAGAGAAUAAGGUGACAAACUAUGAGGCCCCUGCUGUGGCUAUAGAGACAGAAGACACCCUUUCAAAUCUGUCUUCCCAUGAGGAAUCCAAUGGAGAGGAAGCCAUAGCCCAGGUAAACAAACUGCUAUCAAAAGAACCUGGACACCCGAGGAAGCGGCAGCGGUGAACCGGCAUCUACGGAGAUGCAUUACCAUGAACAGUGUUCCAGGCAAAGAGGAGUGUCAACAGUGCAUUAAUGCAGACCCUGAAGCUCUCCGAAUGCGAGACUGGAAGGCAUAUAGAAUCACUACUUUGAGACGAAAGUAUAAGUGUGAACUUGCUGAUGCACCGUCAUAUUGACAGUGUUAACAGUCUCUUCUUGUGAGGCCUCUUUGUAGGCAAUGAUAAAGUUAAUCUUGUCCCAGUGACUUUUAUUUCUGAACACUGAACAAUUGUCCAAUGAGUAACUGAAACUAUUCCGCGCCCCCACAAUCAAACGCCCGCAUGGGGAGAUUUUAGCUUUUACUUUACUAAGUUAAUAAAGACAAGAGAACAUAUUAUGUGUUAAGGAGUUUAUUUUAUGCAAUGUCGUUUGAGAAAUGGUACUAGGAAAGCGUUGAGUAGUGUUGAGCUGGAGUUCAUUAUAUUAAUGAAAUUUAAUGCCCCAUAUACCUUAUGAUGAUCUUUGGUUACAAUGACAUCGAGCCCUACAAUGUCUUUGAUAAGCAACAAAAAAUAUGUAAACAUGUUAUUUCCAUCAGAAGACAUUGUGUCUUGCGAAGAUACAAAGUCUAGAAAUGGUUGUCUUGCUAAGAUAUUAAAACUAGGAUUGUGUAUGUGUGUGUGAAAGAGGGACUCGCAAGUUUUGAAUGUUAGAAACAGAACCCCACAAAGUGACAAAAAAACUAGCAAGAGAAAAAAAGUUCUGAAUUUUAACAAAUUAAAGUGAUGGUAAUU